UGCCUCAUACAUGCAAGUCGAGCGCCCCGCAAGGGGAGCGGCGAACGGGUGAGUAACACGUAAGGAAUCUGCCCUGAAGCGGGGAAUAACUAUCCCAACGGAUAGCUAAUACCGCAUAAUGAUGGGGACGGCAUCGUCCCUUCUCAAAAGGCUUCGGCCACUUCAGGAUGACCUUGCGUCCCAUUAGCUUGUUGGCGGUGUAACGGACCACCAAGGCUACGAUGGGUAUCCGGCCUGAGAGGGUGUACGGACACAUUGGGACUGAGAUACGGCCCAGACUCCUACGGGAGGCAGCAGUAGGGAAUUUUGCGCAAUGGAGGAAACUCUAACGCAGCAACGCCAUGUGUGGGAUGAAGCAUUUCGGNGAACUGCCAC
rnacentral:rRNA from 1 species